UAAAUUGAAGUCAUUUUGCCUAAUUCAUUUGUUUUGUAGCCUAGUUCUUACCCAAUUUAUUACAAAUAUAGCCAAUUUACAUUUAAUUCAUGUCAAAUUUGGCCACAAGUAUUUCAAUUUUAAUCGAAUUAAAUUAUUGAUCCUAUUUUAAUAUCACCCAUUGAUCAAAAUUGAUCCAACAGCUGAGAUGCCUCAACCCUAUUCUUUCCAUUUAUACAACCAAAAACCCUAAUCCCCAUUUUUCCUCAAACCAAACAGCCGCUCCAUCCCUCUCUCUCUCCAAACCCCACUCUCAUCUCCCUUUCCAAAAAUCAGCCCUCACUGCCGCCCCUCUCCAUAUCGGGGCCACUCCAACCUGCCAUCGCGACCUCGCCGUCCCCCAGCAGCUAUCUCCGGCGACGAACAGUCGCCGCCUCUCCACUCCAACCACACGUCCUCCACCGGCUAACAGUAACAACCAACAGCCCCCCGGUGAGCCCUCUCCCUCUCUGUCAGACGCCAACCAUCGGCGUCAAACCAACGACAACACCAGCUGUCAACCCCAAGCGCCGCAUCUGCCACAACAUUACUACCAAACCUUACCUUCCAUGCGACCUGUCCUUCACCGAAAAAUCGAUGGGUUCUUGAAAACCCGUCCACAAGUUUGUUUAUGUGUUGAAGUUUUAUGUCUAAUUUCUCCUACCUCCUUUUCUUUUCUGUGACACAGUUCAAAAUAUGAGUUUGAUUGAUGUUUUGGUUCGUUUCUUUGUAAUUCGUUAUUUUCGAUUUGCUCAGACUGUCAUAUACGAAAUUGCCCAAAUAUUACUGAUUUGAAUUAGCCUAUAUUUCUUUAAGAUUGUGAGCAAUUUUGCUAUCCUAUUUUGAACUGAUAUGCUAAGUAUGGUAUUCCCCAAAGCUUCCCAUAUUGCGAGCUUCUAUUCAUGACUGUCCUGUGAUUUAACCCUCUUAUUUGAGCUUUAAUAAUUUUUAAGUUUGUUCCCGUUGAUUACUACCUACUUUAGUAUUAGAAUGGGAUCUCAAUAAAAUCGUUGGUAUUUGAUUGAUAUAUUUUUUGGUAAAGCUCGAACCCUUCUUUUAACAUGAUUUGAGUAGGGGAUAUUUUAAGUGAUUAUUGAACUUAUUUGUGCUAAUUACCAACCUUGAUAUGUUUUCUACCGUUGGUACUUAUUCCCUCUUAAAUUAGUGCUUUCCUUGUACUUAUCUCUCAUCUAUUUAUGGUCUCUCAUCUAUUUAUGGUAAACCUGCUUAUAAUUGAUUCUCCUUACUUAACUAAGGAAAAUAAUAUUAUGGGUUGAUUUUUUUAACAUCUGCUUUCCUUCAUUAUGAGACUGAUUUAUGAAUGCUUGAUUCAAUGAUUCAAAGAUUGACAUCGACUGACUCAUCAGCUUAUUUUCUUUUCCUUAACUGAUUCUGAUUGGGUGGGAAUUUUUUUUUUUCCUUUUUACCCUCUAAUCCCUUUUACUAUAUAAACUCAUUUUUUUUUUUUAACGGACAAGUUGACAAGUUCUUUAAGUUUUACAAUUACAAUUACCACUACUAUUCUCUCAAACAAAGCAUUAGUGACUUUUAAUACAAAAAGCAAUUACGUACUUUUAAGAGUUCUUCGAGGUUUACGGAAAACAUCUUGCAUAUUUUGCUGUGUUGGGCUUUCUUUCUAUUUCUAUUUUACUUCUAUCUUACUGUUGCUUGCCGGUAAGUCCCUUGUCGAUGUACUUACAUAUUGGAAAGCAUGUCUGUAAGACUAGUUUGAAAUAAUCACUUGAUGUUUACGUGUUGUGUUGUGUUCGUUUGUUUCAAUAUACCUGUGUGUAUUUGUCCCGUACUUUUUUUUUAUUAUGUUCAACAGGUAUUAUUAGAAAGGGAAAUUUCAAAGAGUCGCCGGGAUGUUAAACUGAAUAUUAUUAUAGCUAGUUGUUUUUCUCUCAUUUUUGCAUUAUUCGGUUUGUAAUCUCUGUAAAGACAUUUAUUAAUGAUGUAAUAAUAAUUUUGGAGACUGCUUUGGGGGGCGGUGAAUUACGUGCUCUAUGAAUGAUAUAAGUAGGCACAACAUAGGAUUUUACGUGCAUUAUGUGCUGCAUGAGUCAUUUAGGCACAUAAUCUUAGGAUUUAUUAACAUAUGAGUCGUUUAGACUCUUAAACUAUGUUUUAUAAUUGUUCUUAAUCUAAUUAAAUCAACACACCACAUUGAUCGAUAUUAAGCAUAUGACUAAUUUAUUUGACAUCAAGCACAUUAGUACAUUAUUUGACAUCAAGCAUGUUGGCAUAUUAAUAUAUUUGGUAGCAUAUUAAAUAUAAGUAUUGGGCAUGUUCAUAUAUUUUCAGCAUGUUGACACCUAUAAAAUGAAAUAUUAAUGCAUUCUUCGUAUUAGCAUAUUGAUUCAAUUUCAAGUAUUUUCAGCAUGACUCACAAUAGAUUAAAGAGUUUUGACAUUAAAGUUAAUUACGCUAUCAAAUAGUUUAGUAUGUAAACACAAGUUUGAACAUGUUAGCACACUUCUAGCAACAUUAACAUAAAAUUCCUGCGUGUCAAUAUAUUUUUCAACACUUUAAAAUGGCGUUCCUAUACAAAAUAAUUCAUUCCCGGCAUGGUUAAAGAGGGAUUUCUGCGCAUUAAUUGAAUUUUCAGCAUGUUUUUUUUAAUUUUUCAGCAUGUUUAAUUAACUUUUCAGCAUGUUUAAUUAAUUUUUCAGCAUGUAUAAUUAAUUCUUUCAGUAUAAUUAAUCAAUUUUUGGCAUGUUUAAUUAACUUUUCAGCAUGUUUGAUUAAUUUUUUAAUAUAUUUAAUUAACUUUUCAGCAUGUCUAAUUAAUUUUUCAGCAUGUCUAAUUAACUUUUCAGUAUGAUUAAUCAAUUUUUAGCAUGUUUAAUUCACUUUUCAGCAUGUUUGAUUAAUUUUAACAUGUUUAACAUAACUUUCAGCAUGUCCAAUAACGUUUUCAGCAUUUUCAGUAAGUUUAAAUAUUAUAUCAGCAUGUCAAAUGUUAGCUUUUAGACAUCCUUAGUAUGUUGGUACAUUUUCAGCAUGUCGCUAUGAAGUUCUUGCAAUAGUACAAUUGUUGGUAUAUUAAAAUGCAUAUUUUGGGCACUUUUCGAUACGUUUAAACACUACAGUAAGUAUAUUAUGGCAGCCUUAACAUGUUAAUGCUUUUUAAUAUUCUUGUUGAUUACUCCUAUUCUCAUUAGUUUGUACCACCUAAUUCACAAACACAUUUCUUGACACAUUUACCACACUUUUGACACCCCUCAUGAACACAUUAUAUUGUUGCAUACAUGAAUCACAGUCAUCCUUUAUCACUACCUGUUUAACAUUUAGAUAUCAUGUCUAUAGGUUAACAACAUAAUGAAUAAUUAUUUAUCUCUGCAUGUAAUCACAUUAGUUAAUGUUAAUUAAUCAAGAGGCUAACUUGGGAUUAUCACGUGCUACUUGUUGUCCAAUAUGUUUGCGCUUCGAGUCCUAGGCAACAUAGCUUUCUUUUAGUCUAGAACACAAAUUCAAAAUAGCAAACUCCAAUGUCUCUUGGACGAUAAUUGAGACGAUAAGUAUUACUAAAAACUUUAGUUUUGUCCUUGUCAUAGAACGCCCUUAGACUUGACAUCCAGCCUAGGUGGGGUGGGAUAGGUAGUCAUUCAGAAAUGAUCCCACAAAUAUUAAUGGCGUGGCUAAUGACAUUAUUACUUGUCUAAGAGUUUGACCCUUGGGUUAGAUGAUGAUUAACACGUUGGGUUUCUGAUCCGAACAAAACCAAAACAUUUCUUUGUUUGGCUUGGACGAUUUCUUUUUUUUUUUUAUUUUUUUAUUUACUUUACAUGUUUAUUUGGGGUAGUUAGUUUAUUAUAUGAGCAGUCCCUUUUUAUCAUGAACUAUCUGGCAUUUGUUUUUCCUUGCUUAUCUUAUUUAUAUGUAUUAUUCACUUAGAUAAUCAACCAUUAGAAAUGACAAAAUAACAUGUGUUUUGUUUAUUAAUUGCUUUCUCGCUUAGUCAAAUAUUAAAUUAAUGGUAAAAUAAGAGACCUUUAUUUGAUCACAUAGAAUCCCACGUAAAGUACAAAUUCGGUUGGGAACCACCUUUGUGGACCUCGAAAGGUACCUAACACCUUCCUUUUGAGGUAAUUUGAAUCCUUACCUGAACUCUGGUGAACUAAGACUAAAAUAACAAAAUAGGUUUGUAGUAUCGUAGAUCGGUGCCCUAACGCACCUUAAUACGUUAGAUGGUGACUCUCACACCCCUUUGAAACGUAUCCCAAAAAGAGUUUGUCAAGUUGAAUUUUGCCUUCUGUGACGAAAACGGGGCGCGGGAAUCCUUCGUUGGUUGUUCCUUUGGAGAACAUUUGUAUUUCAGAUUCUUUGUCCUAGGAAGAGGUCCCUAUAAUGAUCUUGGAUCGGCAAGUUCAUCGAUUGCGUAUGAAAGACGUGGCUUCAAUUAAGGUUCUAUGGCGGAGCCAAAAGUCCGAGGAAGCUACUUAGGAAGCUAAGGAGGACAUGAAGUCCAAGUAUCCAUUCCUAUUCUCUAUUCCAGAAAUUCGUGCUUAAGGUAUGUGUUGUUCUUAACAUCUUUGUCUUGUCUUUGUUAAAGAAAAGGUUGAAUUUCAUGGAAUCCCUGUUUUCUAACUUAGUUAAAGGUAAGAGUUAAGGUAUAUAAAGUCCAAUCGUGCUUGUGUUGCCUUAUUCCAUUAUUUGAGGAAAAAUGAUCCAAAAGGGAGAUACUGAAAUACCCUAUGCUUUGGCCCUUGAAAUUUCCUCGAGUAUUGUGCUCACUGUCCUAUUGACGACUCACCAUACGAGUCGUAUGGUGUGGUUACGAGUCUAGGGACCCAAGUCGUAACCAAACCAGUGUGUAAGAGGCUAAGUUUUGUCUUAGCUAUAAGAGACUCCUCACGAGUUGUAUGAUCAUGUGACGAGUGGUUAGAGUCUAGUCAUAUGUUGUCUUCUAACCAAGCCCUUGGUGUUCUAUAUGGGUAACGAAUAGACCAUACGAGUCGUAUAGUAGAGUGAUGAGCGGGACUAGGGAGUCAUAAGUUGGAAAGUAUGUGGUGUCUAAUUUUUUAUCUUGGUGACGACUUAAUGGUAAAAAUUGUAUGCUAUGUUGACGACUCAAGGGCUUGACUCGUAUCCACCUACGCACUUUUUAUAGCUUUUAGGCUGGGGGAAUUUUGGAGAUUUACCACCCAAGACCUUAAGACCCCACGUCUUAUAAAAUCUUUGGGGCAUCCAUUACACCCUUUAGAAGAUCAAACACUCUCUAAACUCUCUCUAAAACUUCUCAAGAAAGAUUAGGCUAGUGUUACUUCAAAGUGGUCAUCUAAGGGCUUAAAUAUCAAAUUCUUUCCGUGACUCUUCAUAACUGAAGCAUGUGAUUCUUCCCGCAUUGUUAUUUUUCUAAAAACAUAAGAUUUAAGCAUUGUUCACAAGUUAAUAAUGGUGGUUUGAAAACCCAUAGUUGAGGGUUUGAAUGCAUAAUGUUGUGUAUUGUUUUCUCAUGAUUUAAAUUAUAAUUAUACAUAUUUUGAUAAUGGUUUUGCACAUGUGGGUGCAUGUGAAUUAUGGUUUAAUAAACAGGUCGUGUUUAACCCUAAAUUUGUUAGUUUUGGGGUUUGAUAAUGGUAUACUCUCAACUUGAUUGUGAAAAUAUCAAUGAGAAUAAUUUCUUCAUAUGUCGAAUUGUUCUAAAUUAAGGCAUUGGCCUACAAAUGUUAAUGAUUGGUAAAUGGUUUAUGAAGGCCUUGCUGGUCAUAAUUUGAUUUGAAAUACUAAAUAGUUUUAAGUCCCUAAAUAUUGAAUUAAAUUAAGGUCGUUGUUUAGACAGGGAGUUUUGAAAUACCCUGGGUUUCUGGCCUUUAGAAAUUUUUUUGGAUUUUUGGUUUUAGAUAGAAUACGGCUAGGAAAAAUAACUCGUACACUGGGAUACAAGUGGUAUGGGUUAGUUGUAUACUGACCUGUGUUGGUUAGUGGGUAGGAUUUAGUUUCUGGAAUGGAUACGACUUGGGUGGUAUGAGUCAUAUCAGUGGAUACAGUUUGUUUGGUUACUUCACCUAGUCUUAGACUUGGUAAUUUAAGUUGGAUCUGAGUACGAGUGGAUUUCCAAGAGCCAUAAGCUAGGGUACAAGUCGUACCAUGGACUUGUAUGGUGGAUAGUGUUAAAUUCUUUUGGGAUUCUAGUCUGCCAGGGGUAUGGAUCAGGGGCACUAGUCAUAUACUAGAGUACACCAUGGUAUGGGGUAAGUCGUACCUUUGACAGUGUUAGGUUCAAGGUAGAAAGCAUUGGGUACUAGUGGUGGGUACCACUCGUAAUGGAUGGUACGACUAGUAUGGAUAGUUGUACCCAACAAACGGGAUUUUUGGGAGUUUAAGUCAGAGUAAUCUGGACAUUUCCCCACUUAACCUAAUAAGGCCCCAUGACCUAUAUUCCUAUUGGGAGGUUAUUUGACCUAUUAUUCUAUUCAUUAACACUUAGAAAUUUCUCCUAAACACUCUAUAAUUCUCUCUAAGGUUUUUGGGUAAAGGAAGGCUAGGGUUUCAUCUUAAGAGUUAAUGUGGGACUUGUGUAGGUUAUUUUUUUCCAUUAUUUUCUUAGUUUAAGGCAUGUUCUCUUCCCUCAUUGUUAGUUCCUACUAAAGGUAUGGUUUUAUACAAUGUUUUCAUGGCUUGAUUAUUGUAUGGUUUUGGAUUUUCAAAUAUAAUAUAGGGGUUUUUGUUAAAAAUGCUGGGUUAUGGGUUUUUCAUGUUUUAAUUAUGCUUUUAUAUUCUUUAAUGGUAGUUUUGGAUAAUUGGUUUCAUGGGAAUGGUUAUUUGGUAAUUGGCUUUGGUUUUGGAAAUACUAUGCCCCCAAUAUGUUUGAUAAAAUGCCUAUGGGAAUGUUUUUAGUACAUUAUUGGACUUUAGUGGAACUAUUGCAUGGUUUAAAAUUGGUAAUAAUGGUUAAAUAGAAUAGUUUGGUGGUCAUGGUUAUGGUUAAUUGAACUUCUUGUGGGGUAUAAUAGAAUUCCCCAAGUAAACAAGUUAAUGAACAAUUUUUGAGGUACAUGAGACUCCCCCAAACAAACAUAAUAGAGCACUUGUGGGGUACAUGGGACUCCGCUAAGUUAACAUGGUAAAUAGGUACACAAGAAUCCCUUUACCUUAGAAGGUUUGGCUAAGGAUAAUACUUGCAAGUUAUAAUCGGUAUGAUGAUACCACCAUUGAUAGCCUUGGUUAAUAAUAAAUGGAAUAAUGGAUUAGUUGGUUGGAAAUGGUUUUAAUUAGGCAAUUAUGGCGGGGUGUGAUAUCUAACUAUGAAGGUGGGAGUUCAUUGAAUGAACACUAGAAACUCAUGUUUGUCAACAUGAGGGGUAGGGCAUGGCGAUCCUUUUAUGAUACUAUGAGGUACGCGGGAAUCCUCAAAGUACAUUGUACAUAUGUAUCAUGAAGGGUUAGGGUACUUGGGAAUUCCUUACGCUUAUGGUAUCUCUGGUUCGAACGGCUACACACAUCGGGGCCCGUUCAAGAGGUUACACUUGACCCAUAUAGCCCAUGGGUAGUUAAGGAUGGUUGAGCUUCACAUACCCAAUUUAAUGUUUUAAAUGCAUGCUAAACCCGAUUCUCUUUCCCGAUAUGGUUAUAUAUGUGUGUUUGUGUGUGUAUGGUUUGUAUGAAUAUGGUUGGUUUACUUGGUUUUAUUGGUUGGUAUUAUUUUAUCCUUAUCCCGAGUUCCAUCUUUGGGAGGCUGUAUCCCCAUGUGAUGUAGGAACUAACCGUUUUACUCCCCCUGCUUAGCUAUCAGACAUUUGAGAUCAGCUAUUGGAUUGAAGUGGUAAGCUUUCAUCUUUUCGAAAGCCUCCAUUUCAUGAAUAUUAUUUCUUACUUUGGUUUAUUUAUGGAUAUUUAUUUUGUCUAUGGUUGGGGGCAUGUCCCAACCAGAUUUUGGUAUUCUUUUGGUUAGAGGAUUUUAUGAAACUACUUUGGGUUGGUAGGGAAGGAUCGGUAUUGUUGUCAGCCUUGGUAUUGGGGAUGAUACCGAAGGACUAAAUUUCUUACUGUCCCAUCUUCUUUUAUUUUUGGAUUAUAUAUAACUAUUACGAAACUCGUAUGGUUAUGUUUUGUCAUUUGAUUUUGCUAUUGGUCGGGUUUGGAUGGUUGGACACGAUUAGGUCGGUCUCGGUAGUAGACAUAUCCCAAAGUUUGUAAUUGAGAUCGUUAUAUUAUCUUGUUAUAUGCUCAAAAUUCAUCCAACUCAGGGCAGACGUCUGGAGAUUGGGUUGGGUAAUGAGGGUAGUUUCCGAUCCCAGUCGGACUUGGGAUGCCCAUUAUGAUAAGGCCUCAAGUCAGGUUAUGUCAAGUUGGUAUCAGAGCUUUAGGUUCAUGGUUAAUUGGGAGUCAACGAAGCCGUGUUUGGUAGAGUCUCUUUUAGGGGUGUGUAACGCGCCCCAUUCAUAAGAGAGGCUACAAGGCAUUUAGUAAUAGUUUACUUGGUAUUAUAUUUUCAAGCUUAGAGUCUAAGUCCUAGAAUUGCCUCUAAUCCUUGUUUGUUCACUUAUCAGAUCAUGCGUCGUCGAUCUGGAACACAAGGAAAUUUUUCUAUCCCAUUUGGGGUUGAUGUUGAUGAAGUACGCCCUACAUCAGUAGUUGGCACUCGAUCUUAGGGUCCUAUCCCUGAUUGUUCUGGAGUUCCUCCGGUUACUACUAGUCCUCCUUAAGGUGAAGUAAAUAAUGCAGAAUUCCAUCAAUCAAAUCAUACUAUUGCUCAAUUGGUUGUUUUUCAGGCUGAGAGGGAUGUAUCUGGUGUUCUAUCUGCUAAGGCCAUAAGGGUUGGCCAGUUCUUGAAGAUGAAUCCUCCUACUUUUACUAGUUUGAAGGUGAAGGAGGAUCUUCAAGGUUUCUUGAAUGAAAUGGAGAAGAUAUUUAAAGUGAUGUAGGACAUUAACAUAGAAGGGGUGAUUUUGCAGCUUAUCAGCUCAAAGAUAUUGCGUACCAAUGGUACGAGGAGUGGGAUAGGGAUAUAGGUGAGGUUGAGGAGUUGUCUUUGUAAAAGGCCUUUUCUAAUUCCUUUUUAAAUUGGUUUUUUAUCAGGAGUUGAGGGAAGUGAAGAUGGACGAGUUUAUGAAUCUUAAGAGGGAACAAUGUCUUUUAAGGAAUAUGCCUUGAAAUUUCAUCAGCUAUCAAGGUAUGCUUCGUAUUUGAUGGAUGAUGUGAGGGCGAAGAUGAGAAAGUUCACUUUUGGGAUAUCUCAGGAUUUGAUUCUUCAAAGAAAGACUGCUUUGUUGAUUGAGGAUAUGGAUAUUUUGAGGUUGGUUGUGCACAUGCAGCAGGUAGAGGAUGAAAAGAGAAAACAAGCAGAGUUUGGGGAAAGGCAAACUAAGAGGAACUGAGCAGGGUGGUGCUUAGCAGUAGGGUGGUCGAGAUGGCGGAAAAUGGCCAAAAAAGAAGUGGGGGAGUUCAGGUACCUUCUCUACUGCUAGUUCUCCUUACCUGAAGUAGUUGGGUGACAGGCGUCAGUAAGAUGGUGAUAAUUUUCGAGCACAGGGUUCCCAAUCUAAGGUGAGUAAGGUACAAUCGACUUCUUCGUGCCCUCCUUACCAAUUUUGUGGUUUUCUUCAUCAAAAAUUUUGUGAGGAAUGGAGGGACAAAUAUUUUAAAUAUGCCCAGAUAAGCCAUAUGCUCAGAAACUGUCCAGUUGGUAAAGGUGCUUCAGGAGUGGUCAAGGAUCCGAUCGCUUCAUUUUCUGCUCCUGCACCUAGUGGUGCUGCUUUUGCAUCUGCUCCUGCUUCUGGUACCAGCACUGGUCGAAAAGGUUGUAUGCUCUUACAUCUCAGUAGGAAUCUGAGGACAUCUCCUGAUAUCGUGACUGGUGCGUUAUAACUCUUUUCUCGUGACGUGUAUUUUCUACUUGAUCUAGGGUCCACUCUUUUCUAUGUGACCCCAUAUGUGGCUGUGUGUUUUGGUUUUGAUCCCUAGGUUAUUUUAGAUCCUUUUAUUAUUUCUACCCCGAUAGGUAACUCGAUUAUUAUUAAAAGAGUUUAUAGGGGGUGUAUGGUAUCUGUUGGUAGCAAGUAGACCUUAGUUUAUCUGUUUGAGCUGGAUAUGGUCAAUUUUGAUGUUAUUCUGGGGAUGGUUGGUUACACUCCUAUUACACAUACUUAGACUAUAGAUCCCGUAAGGUUGUCUUUAGGUUCCCUGGUGAACUAGUUAUAGAAUGAGAGUGUGGCUCCCUAGCUCCUAAGGGAGGUUUAUUUCUUAUCUUAGAGCUUGGAGAUUAAUCUCCAAAGGGUGUCUUUGUCACUUGGUCUGGGUUAAAGAUUCUAACUUGGAGGGUCCUUCUUUUUACUCGGUUUUGGUGGUAAAUUAGUUUCCUGAGGUUUUUUUGGAUGAUCUUCCUAGUGUUCCUCUAGAUAGGGAAAUCGAGUUUGGUAUUAAUUUGGUUCUGGACACUCGUCGAAUAUCUAUUACUCCUUAUAGAAUGGCUCCGGCUGAGUUAUGGAAACUCAAGGAACAAUUUAAGGAUCUUCUGGAUAAGGAGUUUAUUUGUCCCAGUAAAUCCCCAUGGGUUGCACCGGUGUUGUUCGUGCACAAGAAGGAUAUUUCCCUUCAGAUGUUUAUUCACUAUCGGUAGUUGAAUAAGGUAACGGUCAAGAAAAAGUAUCCUCUUUCAAGGAUAGAUGACUUAUUUGAUCAAUUGCAAGGUGCCAAGUUUUUUUCUAAGAUAGACCUUCGGUCUGGGAAUCAUCAGCUUAAGAUUAUGGAGGAGGGUAUCCCUAAGAUGACUUUUCGUACUAGGUAGGGGCACUUUGAAUUCUUGGUUAUGUCAUUUGGUUUGACUAAUACCCCGGUGGUAUUUAUGGAUUUGAUGAACAGGAUUUUCAUGCAGUUCUUGGGUCUUUUCUUACUGUGUUCAUUGAUGACAUCUUGGUGUAUUCUAAGAGUAAUAUGGAUCAUGCUAAUUAACUCCGGGUUAUGUUGCAAACCUUGAGGGAACAACAAUUGUAUGCCACGUUCUCUAAGUUUGAGUUUUGGUUAAACAUUGUAACUUUCUUAGGUCACAUUAUUUCUAAUAAGAGGAUCAUGGUGGAUCCUCAAAAGGUUGCGGUAUUGAAAAGGUGGCCUAGACCCAUGACUCCAACUGGUAUUCAGAGCUUCUUGGGUUUGGCUAGGUAUUAUAGGCUAUUUGUGGAAAGCUUUUCCUCGAUAGCUUCUCCUUUGACUAAGUUAACUCAGAAGAAAGAAAAAUUCUCUUGGUUGGAAGCGUGUGAAGGGAGUUUUGAGAAGCUUAAGGAUAAGCUAACUUCAGCUCUGAUUUUGACAUUGCCUGAAAGUAAUGAGGGGUUUAUGGUUUAUUUUGAUGCAUCCAGGGUAGGACUUGGCUGUGUUCUAAUGCAGCAGAGGAAGAUGAUUUCCUAUGCUUCCAGGUAGUUGAAGGUGCAUGAGAUGAAUUAUCCUACUCAUGAUUUGGAGCUGUUGGAUGUGGUUUUUGCUUUGAAGAUAUAGCGGCAUUAUUUGUAUGGAGUGCACGUAGACAUUUUUUCUAAUCAUAAGAGUCUGUAGUAGGUGUUCACUCAGAAGGAGCUAAAUCUCAGGCAAAGGAGAUGGUUAGAGCUUCUCAAGGACUAUGAUAUGACUUUUCACUAUCAUCCAGGUAAGGCUAAUGUUGUUACUGAUGCUCUUAGCAGUUUAUCCAUGGGGAUUUUAUCUCAUAUGGAUAAGGAGAAGUGGGAAUUGGUGAUGGAUAUUCACCGUUUGGCUAAUAUUGGAGUUCGCCACUUGGAAUUAGAGGAUAGUAGUGUGUUGGUACAGAAAGCAGUUAGAUCAUCUCUCAGUGUAGAGAUUAAGGAGAAGCAAGUGCUAGAUCCUAUCUUGAUGAAAAUCAAGAAUGAUGUUGGUGGGCAAAAGAUAAUAGUAUACGAGAUCAGUGGUGAUGGUAAUUUAUGCUACCAAGGGAGGUUGUGUGUUUCUAAUGUCGAUGGGUUGCGACUAAGGAUUUUUUCUAAGGCGUAUGAUCCACGCUAUGUUGUUCACCCAGGUUCUACGAAGAUGUAUCAUAAUCUCAAAGAGGUAUAUUAGUGGAAUGGUAUGAAAAAGGAUGUGGUUGAUCUUGGAGCCAAGUGCAUAGUGUGUCAACAAGUUAAAGUUAAACACAUGAGACCUGGAGGGUUGUAUUAAGAAAUUAACUUGCCCGAGUGGAAAUAGGAGGCGAUCAAUAUGGAUUUCGCUCUGGUCUUUCUUGGUUGUAGAACCAAUUCGAUUUGAUUUGGGUCAUUGUGGAUAAGAUGAUGAAGUCUGCUCACUUCUUGCUAGUGAGGAUAACUUUUUUGGUGAAAGAUUAUGUGAAGUUGUAUCUUCAGGAGGUUAUGAAGCUGCAUGGGGUACCUGUUCCGAUUAUCUCUGAUCGUGGAACACAGUUUUCAUCUCAUUUUUAGAGGUCUUUUUCAAAAAUGAUUGGGUACUAACGUGAGUCUGAGUACUGCUUUUCUUCCUCGGUCGGAUGGGCAUAUGAAAAGGACUAUUAAGACAUUAGAGGAUAUUCUUCAGGCAUAUGUGAUUGAUUAUGGUGGAAAUUGGGUUGAGCAUCUACCUUUGGUAGAGUUUUCUUACAACAAUAGCUAUCAUUAUAGUAUUAGUAUGGCCUCUUUUGAGGCAUUGUAUGGUAGGAGGUGUAGAUCUCCUAUUGGAUGGUUUGAGCUUGGUGAGGCAGACAUGUUUGGUCUGAAUUUGGUUUAUUAGGGUAUAGAAAAGGUGAAGGGAGUUUGAGGUUUCAGAUAAGGUGUUCUUAAAGGUAUCUCCCAUGAAGGAAGUAAUGCAGUUUGGAAAGAAAAGGAAUCUCAGUCCCCAAUUUAUUGGUCCUUCUGCAAUUUUACGAAAGGUUGGUAAUGUUGCUUAUAUGUCUCCAUGUUGUGGACAUGUCUUGGUGAUCCUUGUUCGGUUGUUUGCUUGGAGGGCUUGGGUAUCUUGGAUUCUCUAUCUUAUCAAGGGAUUCCGAUUGAGAUCUUGGAUAGACAGGUUCGUCGGUUAUGAACCAAGGAUGUGGCCUCGGUUAAGGCUCUAUGGCGAAACCAUAAGGUGGAAUAGGGUACAUGAGAAGUGGAGGAGGACAUAAGGUCCAAGUAUCCUUAUCUAUUUUUUGCUCUUGGGAUUCAUGCGGAAGGUAUGUGUUCUUGAAUACAUCUUUAUUUUUUGAGUUUGUUAAAGGAAAUAUUAAUAUCUUUUCAUCUGUGUUUUCCUAACUUGAUUAAAGGUUGGAAUAAUAUUUGAUAAUAUAAAUAAAUCGUGCUUGUGGUUGCCCUACCUUGUCCGUCAUUUGGGGAUGAAUAUUUCUAGUGAGGGAGACUAAAACCCCCUGGGUUUUUGGUCCUUAGAAAUUUUUUUGGAUUUCUAGUCUCUUGACAGGAUACGACUAGGGAAAACGACUCGUUACUAGGAUAUGAGUGGUAUGGGUUAGUCGUAUGCUGACCAGUGUUGGUUGGUGAGUGGGAUUUAAUUUCUGAAAUGGAUACGACUUGGGUGGUACAAGUCGUAACGAUGGAUAUGGGUUGUUUGGUUACUCUACUUUGUCUUAUAGUAACUUAAGUUGGAUCUGAGUAUGAGUGGAUCCCCAAGAGUCGUAAGCUAGGGUACAAGUCAUACCUUGAACUCGUAUGGUGGAAAGUGUUCAAUCUUCUUGGGAUUCUAUUCUACCAGGGGUACGGAUCAGGGGUACUAUUUGUAUACUUGGGUAUGACAUAGAUUGCAGUGAGUCAUACCUUGGACAGUGUUGGGUCCAAGGGAGAAGACAUUGGGUACGAGUGGUGGGUACCACUCAUAUUGGAGGGUAUGACAGGUAUGGAUAGUCUAUGACAGGUAUGGAUAGUCUUACCCACCUGAUGGGAUUUUUGGGAGUUUAAGUGAGGGAAAUAUGGAUAUUUCUCCAUGUAACCUAAUAAGUAUCCAUGACUUAUAUUCCUAUUGGGAGGUUAUUUACCCUAUUUUUCUAUUUAUUAACACUUAGAAACUUCUCCUAAACACUCUACAAUUCUCUCUAAGGCUCUUGGGUAAAAGAAGGCUAGGGUUUCAUCUUAAGGAUUAAUUUGGGGAUUUUGUUGGUGAUUUAUCUCCAUCAUAUCCUUAAUUUAAGGUAUGUUCGAAUUCCCUAAGUUAACUUGGUAAAUGAGUACACGGGAAUCUCUUUACCUUAAAAGGUUUGGUGAAGGAUAAUACUGACAAGUUAUAGUCGGUACGAUACCACUAUUGAUAGCCUUGGUUAAUAAUAAAUGGAAUAAUAGAUUGGCUGGUUGGAAAUGGUUUUAAUUGGGAAAUAAUGGCGGGGUGUAAUAGCAAAUCAUGAAGGUGGGAGUUCAAUGAACGAACACUGGAAACUCAUCAUGUUUGCCGAGAUGAGAGGUAGGGCAUGGCGACCCUUUUAUGAUACUAUGAGGUACGCGAGAAUUCUCAAAGUACAUUGUACAUAAGUAUUAUCGAGGGUGAGGGUACUUGGGAAUCCCUUACUCUUAUAGUAUCUCCAGUUCGUGUGGCUACACGCAUCAGUGCUCAUUCAGGGGGUUACUUUGGACCUAUAUUGUCGUGGGUGGUUAAGGACGGUUAAGCUUCACAUACCUAGGUUAAUUUUUUAAAUGCAUGCUAAACCCGGUUCCCUUUCCUGGCAUGGUUAUAUAUAUAAAUGUAUGGUUUGUAUGCAUAUGGUUUGUUUACUUGGUUUUAUUGGUUGUCAUUAUUUUAUCCUUAUAUUGAGUUUAUCCUAGCGUUCACCCACUAACCCGUCUUUCGGUGGCUAUAUCCCCACCCAAUGAAGGAACCAUCCAUUUUACUCCUCCUGCUUAACUAUCAGACAUUCAGGAUCAACUACUGGAUUAAAGUGGUGAGCUUCUAUCUUUUUGGUAGGCUUUAUUUUAUGGAUGUUAUUUUAUACUUUGGUUUAUUAAUGGAUAUUGGUUUUUGCUAUGGUUGGGGGCAUGCCCUAAUUGAAUUUUGGUAUUCUUUUGGUUAGAGGCUUUUAUGGAACUACUAUGGGUUGGUAUGGGCGAGAUCGGUAUUGGUGUCAACCUUGGUAUUGGAUUGGAAUUGGGGCUGAUAUCGAAGGACUACAUUUCUCAUUGUUCCAUCUUCUUUUAUUUGGGGAUUAUAUAUAACUAUUAUAGAACUCAUAUGGUUAUGGUUUAUGGUCUGGUUUGGCUAUUGGUCGAGUUCAAAUGGUUGCACUCGGUUGGGUCGGUCUUGGUAGUAGAUCUAUCCUAAAGUUUGUAAUUGGGAUAGUUUGCUAUCUAGUUAUAUGCUAAAAAUUCAGCUAACUCAGGGCAGACAACUGAAGGUUGGGUUGGGUAACGGGGGUGGUCUCUAGUCCCGGUCGGAUGAUACCAAUGGGAUUCCUUUGGUAAGUAAUUGGAUUAAUGGUUGUGUAUGUGAAAUAAAAUUAGGAUUUAAAGCGGGAUGUGUAGUCGGGUCGUGAUAGUGGAGUCCUAAGGACUAACACUAGAACCUUCGCUAGCUGGUACGGUGUCUAUAUGACCGGGAGGUUUGAGUCCCCCAAAUGAAUAUAUGAAUGGGAGGUUUGAGCCCCCCAUAUUGUAUACAUUGGUACCUAAGUCACCUUGAUUAUGCCAGGAGGUUCGAGUCCCCCAUAAAGGUAUAUACAGAUAUGGUUAAUCUCUGGUCCAUGCGACUACACACACUGGAGCCCUUCUAUCUAGGAAAGAUCUGGGACCAUCUAACCUGUUGGUACCUUGUUAUAUGACGUUUAUUCUACACAACCCAGGUUAAGGUUUUCAAAGUUAAUGCUAAGCCUUGUUCUCUACCCUGUCAUAUCAUAUUACAUACAUGUAUAUGCAUUUUAUAUGAUAUUAUGCUUUAGAUGUUGCACUAGUUUUGAAUUGUUAUCGUGGCAUUAUUUUGUUCCUCUAUCCCUAAGUUACAUGCAAGCGCUCCAACCACUAAUCAUCUAUGGACACUGUAUCCCCACGCGAUGCAGGCACCAAAACUUUUAUACUUUUCCUGUGCAGUGAUCAAGUGCUUGAGAUAGUUCAUGAGUUGACGUUAAAGUGGUGAGCUUCCAUACUUUGGAAGGCUUCAUUUCAUGGUCCUUAUUUCUAAUAUCUUAGACCUUGUUUAGACUUUUUUUGGCUACUUUUGGGGGCAUGUCCCGACAUUUUAUUGAUUUUGGUUUUAUGGAGGCUUUGUUGGACUACUGUGGACUUGGGUGGUUUGGUUGGUUGUUUGGUGACAGAUUGUUUUUUGGUUGUCGGUGAUUAGUAUAGACUUAUCAUGAAUUGUUAUUAGUUUUAUUCUACGCUAUCUUAUUAUAUGUUCGAAAUUCAUUAGACACUUAUAGAUGUUGUGCUAGUUAGACUAGAUGAAGGGGGUGAUCUCCAAUCCACUUAGGACUUGAGAUACCCGUCAGGGCCAGCCCUAGUUUGGGUUGUGACAAGGGUCUAUGGAUCAGCCCUAUUUAAGAGGAGUUCUAGGAGACUCUCCCUGAGCCUCGAGUUGGCUACUUCUUAGAUGGUUAUAUUUGGAGCAUUUUUGUAGAGCAUUGUGGAUCAUGUCAUAAUGACAGAGGCUAUUCUUAGAAUCUCAGGAAGGCACCAAGAAGGUGUACCAUUUUGGUAAGUUCAGAGGUCAGGUUUCUCUCGGUAGAGAUUUUUGAGGUUUUUAUGGUUAUCAGGGUAUGCUAGUGCAUACGGUGUUCUAUAGUUCAGAUGGUGGAUCUUUGGGUUGAGGAUUACAGGGUGUUCAUUCAGACCCAUUGGUUCCUUCUCCUAUUGAGGCAGAUCAUUGGACUUGUUAUGUAUGUCGUGAAGUUAGUCAUUUGGCCAAGAAUAGCCCUCACCAUUUGAUUAGGUCUACUCCUAUUUCAGUAGUGAGAGGUAAGGGUACAACCAGAGAAGUGAAAAGUAGAGGUGGUGGAGACCGCAGUGGUGAUCAUGGGGCUUCUCAACCAGUUAGUGGUCAUGAUUAGUGUUAUUCUAUACCUUCCAAGCCUAAGGCGAAGGCUUCUGAUGCUGUUAUCAUAAGUAUCGUCCCCAUUUAUUUUAGAUAUACAUUUGUGUUAUUUAACCCUGAUUGGACUUUCUCCUAUGUGUCUGCAUAUUUUGUUUUGGGUUUUGAUUUUGUUAGUAAGCCUCUUGCCAUGCCUAUUUGUGCUUCUACCCUGAUAGGAGAUUUUUUAGUAGUGGAUCGAGUAUACUAAUCUUGUGUUGUGAAUUUUUGUGGCCAUGAGACUUGGGUAGAUUUGAUCGUGUUAGAUAAGGUUGAUUUUGAUGUUAUUUUGGGUAUGGAUUGGUUGGCACCUUAUUAUACUAUCUUAGAUUAUUUUUCUAAGACUGUGACUUUAGCUUUAUUGGACGUGCCCUAUAUAUAUUGGAAGGGCGUGCUUCAUUCAGAUCCUAAGGGGGCAAUAUCUUAUGUUCAAGUUCAUAGAUUGGUUAAGAGGGAUGUUUAUCUUAUUGGCUCAUAUUCAUGAUACUAGUGUUGUUUCACCUCCUACCUUAGAUUCUGUUUGUUUUGUCCAUGAGUUUGUGGAUAUGUUUCCUUACGGAUGUGCCUAGUAUACUUUCGAAUUAUGAUAUUGAUUUUUCUAUUGAUUUUGAGUUGGGCACCAAGCCCAUGUCUAUUUCUCCUAAUAGGAUGUCCCCAACCAAGUUGAAGAAAUUGAAGGAUCAGUUGCAGGAAUUGUUGGAUAAGGGAUUUAUUCAACCUAGUAUAUCGCUUUGGGGUGCGCCUGUCUUGUUUGUGAAAAGGAAAGAUGGGCCUAUGUAUAUAUUUAUUGAUUAUCGUCAGUUAAACAAGGUGAUGGUUAAGAAUAAGUAUCCUCUUCAUUGUAAAAAGGAUUUGCUUGAUCAACUUUGGGUGUUGUGGUGUUUUUAAAGAUUGAUUUGAGAUCUGGUUAUCACCAGUUAAGGAUUAGAGCUUUGGAUAUUCUGAAGAUAGGUUUUUGGACUUAAUAUGGUCAUUAUGAGUUCUAGGUCAUGUCCUUUGGGUUGACCAAUGCCCCUAACGCAUUUAUGGAGUUGAUGAACCAGUGUUUCAAUCAUAUCUCGACUCCUUUUUAUUGUAUUUAUAGAUGAUAUCUUGGUUUAUUCCAAGAUUGAGGUUAAGCGUGAGGAUCAUUUGCAAAUUGUGCUUCAAAGAUUGAGGGAUAAGAAGUUGUAUGCUAAGUUCUCUAAGUGUGAUUUCUGGUUGGAGUCUAUUUUUUUCUUGGGUCAUGUGGUGAUUAAUGAUGGUAUUAUGAUUGAUCCAGCCAAGGUUGCAAUGGUUAGUGAUUGGGAGAGACCUACUUUGCGCACUGAGUUUUAUUGGCUUGGCAGGUUAUUAUCGGCGUUUUGUUAAGGGUUUCUCAUCUAUUGUAGCUUUGUUGACCAAGUUGAUUCAGAAUAAUAUUUGUUUCCAAUGGUCUGAUGCUUAUGAGGCGAGCUUUCAAAAACUCAAGGAUUUAUUGACUUUAGCUCUUAUUUUAGCUUUUCUCACGGAGGGUGUGGGUUUUACCAUCUUUUGUGAUGCUUCAGGUGUUGGGUUAGGUGUUGUGUUGAUGCAGGAGGGUAAGGUGAUUUCCUGUACUUCUCAUCAGUUAAAGCCCCAUAGGAAGAAUUAUCUUACUAUGAUUUAGAGUUAUGUGCAGUUGUUUUGGCUUUGAAGAUGUCAAGCCAAUACUUGUAUGGAGUCAGUUAUGAGAUUUUCUCAGAUCAUCAUAGCCUUUAGUACUUCUUUACCAAGCUAGAUCAUAAUAUGAGGCUACACUGUUGGCUUGAGUUGCUUAAGGACUAUGACUUGACUAUUCUCUAUCAUCUGAGCAUGGCUAAUGCGAUUGUGGAUGCCUUGAUUCGAAAGUCAACUAGCAUGGGUAGCUUGGCGCAUCUUUUGACCCAGGAGUGUCCUUUGGCCUUGGAGGUUCAGUCUUUAGCUAAACAGAUGGUUAGGCUUGAUAUUUUGACACCUGAAUGUGUUUUGGCAUUUGUGGAGGCUAGAUCUUCUUGAUAGAGCAGAUUCAAGCUCAUCAGUUUAGUGAUGCGGGUUUGAGGUAAAUUUGAGAUAAAGUGUUGAGUGGUGAGGCUAAGGAAGCCUUACUAGAUUCGGAUGGUAUUUAGAGAAUUGGUGGUCGAGUUAGUAUGCCGUGAAUAGGUGAUUGGAUUAGAUUGAUUUUGGAGGAGGUACACUGUUCCAGAUAUUCUAUCCAUCCCGAUAUAACUAAGAUCUAUCAUGAUUUGAGGCAAUAUUACUGGUUGGGUGGUAUAAGGAAGGAUGUAGCAGACAUUGUAGCUCUCUACCUUUGUUGUCAGCCGGUAGAGGUUGAGCAUAUGAGUCCUGGAGGUUUGCUUCAAAGGUUACCCAUUCCUGAGUGGAAGUGGGAAUGGAUCACUAUGGACUUCCUGACUGGGUUACCUCAACUUUUUAUGGAUCAGAUAGUAUUUGGGUUGUGGAUCAAUUGACCAAGUUAGCCCAUUUCAUUCCAAUUCAGGUUUUCUUCAGUGCCGAGAGGUUGUCUCAUAUUUAUAUUUGAGAUAUUGUGCGACUACAUGGUGUGUCCGUAUCUAUUAUUUUAGAUCUAGGUUCUGUGUUUACUUCUCACUUUUGGAAGACCUUUUAGGAUGAGUUGGGCACACGGGUUGAUCUUAGCAUAAUAUUUCACCCCCAGAUUGAUGGUUAGUCAGAACGGACUAUCCAUGUUUUAGAGGAUAUGCUCCAUGCUUAUGUAAUGGAUUUUAAUGGCCAGUGGGAGCAACAUUUAGAUUUAGCAGAGUUUGCUUAUAGUAACAACUACCAUUCCAGUAUCAACAUGGCUCCUUUUGAGGCAUUGUAUGGUAGGACUUGUCGCUCGCUAGUAGGUUAGUUUGAUGUUUCUGAGGUUAGACCUUGAAGUACGAAAUUUCUUCGUCAGCUUUUGGUUAGAUUUUGGGUCAUUCAUGAUAGACUUCGAGUGGUACAGUGUAGGCAUAGGUGCUAUGCAAAUUAUAGACUUCAUACCUUGAGAUUUGGUGUUGGUGACUGUGUUUUCCUUCAAGAUUCAUCCAUGAAGGGUGUGAUGAGGUUUAGGAAAAGGGGCAAGCUUAGCCCCAGGUAUAUUGGUCCAUUUGAGAUUCUUCAGACUAUUGGUAAUGUGGCCUAUGAAUUAACUUUUCCCCAAGGUUUAUCGGUUGUUCAUCCAGUUUUUUAUGUUUCUAUGCUUUGCUGUUACGUUCCUAAUGAGUCUCAUGUCAUUUGUUGGGAGUCGGUUAAGUUAGAUAAGCGGUUGUCUUUUGUUGAGGAGCUGGUCUCCAUUUUGGCUAAGGAUGUUAGAUGGUUGCGCUCUAGAGUUAUCUUGUAGUUAAGGUUCACUGGCGACCUCGACCUGUAGAUGAGUCUACUUGGGGUAGUUUCUGAUAUGCAUAGUUCUUUGAUCUGAGGUGGAUUUAUGCACCUCAGUGUUGAUAUCCGGGCUUAUUUAGCCUUAUUUUGAGGAAUUCUCUUGUGCUUAAUGAGUAAAUCUUUGUAUAAUCGAGAAUAUAAGUGUUAAACUACUUUAUUACUCCCUCAAUUUUAAAAAGAAUGACCUACUUUCCUUUUUAGUUCGUUUAAAAAAGAAUGACCCCUUUCUUUUUUUGACAAUAUUUUAAUUUCAACUUUCCAUAUGUCAUGUUUAGGACCACAAGAUUAAAUACCAUUUUGGUACUUUUGCCACAACUUUAAUUUAAGGCCACAAGAUUCAAAAGUCUUCUUUAUUUUCUUAAACUUUGUGCCAAGUCAAACUAGGUCAUUCUUUUUGAAACGGAGGGAGUACAAUGUUUAAGGUGUGUUUCAAACAAGUUUGGUAUCAAUUUGGUCACUUAGAGUUUAGACGAGAAAACUAGUGUUACUAGCUUAGCUAGGUAUUGUUUUAGUUGAUUUCCAUGGAUUCUAGUGUGUGCAAUGAGUUAAUAAGGGUGCAAUGAGUUAAUAAGGGUAUGAUUGUGUAAUGAUGUAAUAAGUUGUUUAUAGUGUUUAAGAUUCAAUUGAAACAAGCCAAGAGAUAAAACAAUUAGUUAAAGAUCAAAAGGACAAAACUAGUAUUCUUAGCUUAAGUUUCUAGUUCAUCAUCUUGGAUUGUAUGUGGUUUUGAGCUCUAAUACAUGGUGUUUGAUGAUAUAAGAUGCUUGGUGAGUUUAUCAUGAUAAUAUAUGGAUGAUACACAAUCUGAAAAUCAAGUGAAAACAAUACCACAAGGCUUGUAAUGGAUGGAUAAAAGCACGAGAUAAGACUUGAUAAAAAUGGACGUUUUGGGGUCAUUAGCGUGCCACGAACCUUAGCCACCACAUUAGGGUCUGUUACACUCCCUUGAGGGCAUCAUAAAUGACCAAUUCCAGUGUUUAACUAUGCUAUUGGUGUUCCACGGACACUAGGCACCGCGAUAAGGUCCGUGGCACGUUGGUAAGUUCAAAUCGGCAGCUUGUGUCCUCCUAUAAAUUGGACCCUUAAACCAUUAUGUUUCACACCUUGGACGACCUUGAAACUUUGUAGGAGGCUGGAGAACACUUCAAUUAGAGUUUUUAUUCCUUUACUUUGGUUUGUUUAUGGAUUUUAACAUGUAUUCAAUCAUUUUGAUUACGAUUAUGUCCAUGAGAGGCUAAACACCCUUUUUCGGGGUUAAGGCCAAGAACAUGAUUAUUCUUGUUAUUAAUUGAUUUAGUUUUGAUUAUUUAUCAUAUUUGAUUAUUUAUUUAUCCUUGUUUUUUCUAAUUUAAGCAUUAGAUACUUUUAGAAUACAUCUAUUGUCAUUUUAUGAGCCCGAAAGAAGGAAUAAGAGGAUAGAACAUGGGGGUAAAUAGAAUAGGAUUGUAAUAUUCUACAAAAUGAAUUUAUAAUUUUCAUUUAGGAUAGGAAUGUACCUAAGUUACCUAUUUGGUUUAGUUACAGGAUGAAAUAUAAAUGCAUUUGACUUAGCUCUCAUAUCCUCGCUCAAUGAUGUAGUUGUGGGUCUAAGUUAGAUAAGUGAUUAGAGGCUCGAAAGACCAUGAUCAUAAUAUCAACCCUGUAAAUCAACAACCAAGAUAAGUAACCUAACCAAUAAAGUUCAAUAGCAAAGUAUGAUUGUUCUCAGAGCCUUAACCCUGGGUUUCUCCCCAUUGAUUGUCCAAGACCUUUAAUUUAUAGCUUUAUUUUAGUUUACAUUUAGUUAUAACUCUCAAACUCUCGUGGUUAUGUUUGCACUAAUUUAAUCUCAAUACUGAACUAGAUUUGGAUAGUUGUCAACACAAGUCCCUAUGGGUCGAUACUUAGCUUUUUUGAGGCCACUAUAUUACUUGGUGAGCCACUUUCACUUGCGUGUGCGCUUGGGCUCAAAAUUCUUACCCCCAGCUUUUCAUUGAUUCAGGUAUUUCUGUGUGAUUUACUAUUUUAUCCCUCCUCGUAGUUGCAUUGUAGUAUUUUGGAAUGUGGGAAUGAUUGACACGAUUCUUGAUGCAUUUUCUUGUCUUUUGUGUGAUAUUGUGGUUUUUGAAGGCUUUAAAAGUCUUAAAAUGGACCUAUGUUGUUAUCUUUUGAUGUGUGUGAUAGAUGACUGAACAAAUUAUGCCAGCAGAUCUGAAAUGUCGAUUUUAGGGUGGUAACAUAUUUAGUUGGGUUUUAUAGCUUAUGAAUUUCAUUUCGACCCUUGAUUUAGAAAAUUGUGAUUUUGGGUUUCAGGCGUCAACUCUAUGAAAAUAAUGUUUUUUCAAAAAUAUGAUAUCUGUAUUGAGUCUAGAACAUUGAAUUUAGUAUGGUUACAUUAUUUGUUUACGUAUAUCAGAUUCCAGACGAAUCUCAAGCGCCCCGUUGAAAUUCGUUUUGGACUUAAAAAAUUUGGUACACCAGGUUGUUAGUUCAAUCUGGACAACAAAGGGUAAAACUUAUUUGAGAAGCCCAAUUUAUGCCUUAUUUACCUGGCAACCUGGUACAAGUAUAAAUAUCUCCAUUUUACCCUAUUUUCACUCAUUUUUCAUCCUUUCUCUUAAGAACUAAACCCUAAAAUAGUAUGAGAGUGUAAUGACACUUCAGGUUAUUUUUUGUAUUUCCAGUUAUUUUUCUUUAGUUCGUUUGGUUCUUAGAGCCAAUUUCCUGUUUAGAAGUCUUCGUUGGUUUCAAAUGGCCACCGAGCAAAAAACUCAGUAAAAUAAUCUCAGAUGCAAAUUUUGAUUGUGCCAGCAACUCUAGAAUAUUGAUUUUAGGCCAGGUAGACCUUUUGUUCGAAUCCUAAUGCACCCGAGCUUAUUUUGACCUAUUGGUUAGAAAGUUGGUGAAUCGAGAAUUUUGGUGUGGGUCCAAUAUUUAGUCGAAAUAAUAUCAGAUAGAAAAUUCAACUUUACCAAUACCUCCGAAAUGUCAAAAAUAGUGUGUUACACAACUCAUUUGUUAUAUCGGAUCCUGAAUGAAUCUUGAGGAAUUGGUUGAAACAUGGAAGAAUUUUCAAGUUUUAGCUGAUAUCUGGUAUAUUAGGGAGAUUUCGUGAUCAUACAGCUAUGAAUAGUGACCGCCCUAUGGCGACCAUGAUCCAGGAAUGGCGAUAGCCAUACCUCAUUACCUGGUAUGACUAUAAAAAGGCCCUUUAGGCCGUAUUUUGGGAAUUUCCCACUCAUCAUUGAGACAAGGAACCCUAAAAUGGUAUGUCAACCUUCAAUUAAGUCUUAGAAGUGUCUUUGGAGCUUAGUUAACAUAUAUUUUCAUGAUUAACAACAAAUUUGAUAUAUGAAUCCUUCCAUUUCAUGCUUGAAUUUCUUGAAAAAAAUCCCAAAUAGCUUAAGGGUUUGAUUUAGCCCCAAAUAAACUUGGUUUUCACCUAUUUCUUGAGGGUUACAAUUUCUUGAGGUGUAUGGACUUAGGUUGACCUAAAAAAUGUGUUUUUCAUAAGUGGGACCCACUUAGGGGUUUUGGUGUCAUUUUUGGACCCAAAGUAUAAUAGUAUAAUAUGGGUAUCGAUGUUCCUUUUAUAAUGUGUAGAUUGUAUUUUGAUAGCGUGGCACCUUGAAAAAGCUUCUCGAAAGGAAAAAGCAAAGGUUUAGCGGAUUGUUGAGCUUUCUUCGACAUCGAGGUAUGCUAGGUUUAUUCCUUGUUAGAUUGAGCUAUGUCAUAGUAUAUUUGUGAUAUAUUGUUAGAUUGAAAUGGGUUUUAGGUGUAGGUUUGAUGAAGUGCAAGACUCGGGAUUAGUUGGGCCAUUUGGGCCACUUUUAAAUCAUAGGCUUGAAAUACUUAACGUAUUUUCCUUAUGCCUUAGUUGAAUUGGGCUUCAUUGCUCAUGUCUAGCAUGAGAAUCCCUUGGACCACUUAAAUUAGAUAAAAUGACUUAGACACCCAUGCUUAGAGUAAGUUGGCCUUAGUUGCUUAUACUAAAGAAGGUUGCCUUAGUUCCAUUGGACUUGGCAAAAGUGUUUGAGUAGAGUAUCUACCUCAGGGAUUAUGGUGGCUUGCUAUACAUCUAAGAGUUGAUUUAGAUACCUUAGCCUAGUACGGGGUAGAAAUUAACUUAAAAUGCAUUUUAGGGAUUUAAAAGUUGGCUCGCUGACCCAUCUUAAGGCAAGACUUAUGAUUAGUUCUCUUGAACCCUUACGCUUAGUAAUUGAAUAGAGAGUGCCCCUUUGGAGGCACUAUUGAUGACUCUUGGUACUGUUAGGUACGAGGAAUGACAUUGAGAGUAAUGCCAAAGUGACUAUGCUCUUAUAUGUUUUAUUGGCUAAAGCUUAUGUCGAGCUAUUAAUUAUGUUAUUGUGAUUGAAUAUUGUUUGGGCUAAGGAACAUGGUACUGAAUGAUCCCUUGACAAUAAUAUGGCCUAAGCCAUAAAUAAUGUUAUGAACCAUACUAUGAACAAAAUAUAGAUUAUUUCUUGGUUUAGCCAUUGCUCAUACUAUUGAUAAAUUAUCUUUAGGUCAAUGAUAGGCCAAUGAAUAUGAUACUAAUGGGCCAUUGUUCAUGAUAUCGCUUAUGGUUAUGUUCAUGUUUUAAAUGGCUAGAUUAUUGAUUAUGUAAUGAUAAGUCCUUGAAUAAACUCUUGAUUAAGCCAUGUAUACAUCAUCGAUUAAGAUAUUGAUUAGGCUAGUGUUUGGGCCGUUAACUAUUCUAUUGCCCAUGUUAUGUUCAUGCUUAGUAAUUAUGCUAAUAAAUUAUAUUGAAAAUCUUUCUUAUUGUCGACAUCGGAAACAAUGAUGUUAAUGGGGCUAGAAGACACGUUUAUUGACUAUAUGUAAGAUAUUCUACAGACUAUCCUUAGACUCAUGAUACUUCUUUAUAUGAUUAGUUACGCUAAUUCUUUUGCCACUUAUUGUACAUAUCUAUAUACCCAUCUCUCUGGUAUGGGAUGGAGAAGGAUAUUGGUAUUGAAGAUUUAAGUUUCAAGGGAAAACUCAAUGAUAGUUUAUAAUAUUCAUGUUAUAUAUAUAUAUAUAUAUAUAUAGAUAAAGUAUCACUGAUGAUGAACGUUGGAUUGUGGUGGUAUGCUCUUCUUCGUUUCUCUUUUAUAUUUUUUUACUUUAGCCCUCGUGGGGCUUGUCAUUUACUUUUGCUCUUGUGAGGGUUGUUAUUUACUCUAGCCCUCGUGAGGCUUCUCCUUUAUAGAUGAUAUUAAUUUGUAUAUUGUGAUGAUAUAUUAGUACCCAGCAAGGCCGAGGGAUAUUUAACGAUAUGUUGAUACCCGGCAAGGUCGGAGGAUAUUAUGAUGAUAUGAUGAUAGCCGGCGCGAUCGGACGAUAUUGUGAUGAUAUAAUAAUACCCAGCGAGGUUAGAGGAUAAUGUGAUGAUAUGAUGAUACCUAGUGUGUCCGGAUGAUAUUGUGAUGAUAUGAUAAUACCCGACAAGGCAGAAGGAUAUUAUGAUGAUAUGAUAAUACCUAAUAGAGUCGAAUGAUAUUGUGACGAUAUGAUUAUUCCUAGUAAGGUCGGAGGAUAUUAUGAUGUUAUAUUAAUACCUGGUAAUGUAAAAUGAUACUAUGAUGAUAUGAUCAUACUUGGUAAGUCCAGAGGAUGCUAUGAUGAUUUGACGAUACCCGACAAGACCAGAGAAUGAUUAUUGAUGUGCCUGUGUGUACAUCUACCGGUUUAAUCCCCGCUAUCCCUAUUUAUGGAAAUUAUAUACUCACUUAUGCUCUUGUGUACUUGGGUAUAACAUUGUUAUUAGAGAUGUCGGUUAUAGUCUUCUAAUCAAUUAAGGUAUAGAGUUGUAUAGAUAUUGACUUAAGGUUGAAAAAAUGAUUAGUGGUGGAUAUUGCUUAAGUGGCUAAUAGUGACUAAUGUAUUAGUGAGCCUUAGUGAUAAUUAUUUCAUUAUGGAGAUUAGUGAUAAUGGGUUUAGUUAAGUUGAUGAUUAGGUUCUAUUAAUGACUAAGUCUAUGAUGUUGAUUAGAUGUUAAAUGGGGAUUUAUGGAUUAAUGAUACUAGUUAAUAAAAGAUGUUAGUUGAUAGAUGAAUAGUGAAUAAAUGGUGAUUAGCAUCCAUUUGAUAAAUUAUGACUAGUGGAAUUAUGAUUGCUAAAAAUAAAUAUAAGUUAAUUGAUGGAUAUGGUCUAGUGCUAAAUCUUGGCUAGACGUUAGAUAGUGGCUAGUUAAUGAACAAUGGUUAGUUGAUGACCCAUGAAUAGUGUUUAUAUGAUGAAUAGUGGAUAGAUAAAAAAUAGAGAUCUUAUGAUGCCUAGCAAGUAAUUGGUUUAGUAUAAGCGUUGGCUAGCUAAUAAUGGGUGAAUAGGGUAUACUGAUGAUAUAGAUUCUUGAAUGAUGUUAUGGUUACGGUUAUGAGUAUAUUAGUAUAUGUUAUUCAACUAUGAUUAUUGAUGAUAAUUAUGAGUGUUGGAAAAAGGUCGAUUGAUGAAAAUUGUGGAAAACUAUGGAAUAAUGAGGAAGUCUGGAUAUAUUAUUGGCUUGGUUCCAUUAUAUUUCUCUUUGGUAUACUCUCCGGUGGUAUGAGACUCCUUGAUGAGUUCUUUACUUUGUGCACCAGUUGGCAUAUGGGAGUCAACUUUGUACUUAUGAAUGAUUGUGUUGAUGUUUGUGAUGUGUUAUGAUUCUGGAUCAUUUAUUUCUUAUGUUUGGCGAUAUUGGUAUGCGUUGAUGCCUUAUGUUAUAUUGUUAUUCUGAUAUGAUCGUUUAUUAUGCACAGUGAUGAUGGAGAUAAUUUAGGUUCGAUUUUGUAUCUUGACUUAGUUAUGAUUAUCUUCCACUUUAUCAUUCCUAUAUCAUGAUUUGGCUCAGUCGGCCAAUGAUGCCUACUGAGUACCUGUUGUUUUGGUACUCAUACUACACUUUUGUACCAUCUUAGGGCAAAUUCGAGUAUUAACCGCCACCGUUGAUCAUGGUUCAUGCGGUGAUUGAUUUUUGGAGAUAGGGUGAGCUCUUGGAGUUUGAGUCACUGAAUUUUCUUCUAUCUUUUGUAUACAGUCUUUACUAUUUGAGACAGAUGUACUUUAGACUGGUUACAACAAGGAAGGGUACAACUCAUAAGCUGAGGAUAUGAGUGACGAUCGAGUAGUACCGA
rnacentral:lncRNA from 1 species